rnacentral:rRNA from 1 species
GAUGAACGCUGACGGCGUGCCUAAUACAUGCAAGUCGAGCGAACGGACGAGAAGCUUGCUUCUCUGAUGUUAGCGGCGGACGGGUGAGUAACACGUGGAUAACCUACCUAUAAGACUGGGAUAACUUCGGGAAACCGGAGCUAAUACCGGAUAAUAUUUUGAACCGCAUGGUUCAAAAGUGAAAGACGGUCUUGCUGUCACUUAUAGAUGGAUCCGCGCUGCAUUAGCUAGUUGGUAAGGUAACGGCUUACCAAGGCAACGAUGCAUAGCCGACCUGAGAGGGGGAUCGGCCACACUGGAACUGAGACACGGUCCAGACUCCUACGGGAGGCAGCAGUAGGGAAUCUUCCGCAAUGGGCGAAAGCCUGACGGAGCAACGCCGCGUGAGUGAUGAAGGUCUUCGGAUCGUAAAACUCUGUUAUUAGGGAAGAACAUAUGUGUAAGUAACUGUGCACAUCUUGACGGUACCUAAUCAGAAAGCCACGGCUAACUACGU